rnacentral:rRNA from 1 species
CCCUUAGAUGUCCUGGGCUGCACGCGCGCUACACUGAUGUGUCCAGUAAGCACCUAACCUAUUCCGAGAGGAGCGGGUAACCUUAGUAAAGCACAUCGUGAUGGGGAUAGAUUAUUGCAAUUAUUAGUCUUGAACGAGGAAUUCCUAGUAAGCACAAGUCAUCAGCUUGUGUUGAUUACGUCCCUGCCCUUUGUACACACCGCCCGUCGCUCCUACCGAUUGAAUGUUCCGGUGAGCUCUUCGGACUGCGCGGUCUGCAGUUUCUGCGUUCCGUGCGGAAAGUUGUGCAAACCUUAACAUUUAGAGGAAGGAGAAGUCGUAACA